UUUGCUGGGAAAUUGAAACUGCGUCGCAGAAUUACGAUGUGAAGAAAACUAUAGAAAAAUAUUCUAGGAAAACUCAUUCUCUAAAGUUUACAUUAUAAAACAGUUUACAUUUGGGUCUAGACAUGCAAAAAUCAUGGACAUCCUGACAGUGCUGUGUCAUUAAAGCAUGCCGAAUUUGAGUUCAUUGAUGAUCAAUUGGUGGAUUUGAAAAGUUCUUUGUGUUUUAUGUAAAUUUCGGUUCGAAGUUCAGUAGUUUAAUCGGGUGAGUAACUCGUGGGAGAAGCGAAAUAUAUUUGAUGGCGUUUGCCGCAUCACCGUCUGCUAAUCGUGUAUAGACAUUUUGCUCUAUUUGUUGGAAAAUCGAACUGUACAAGAGUAACAAGACAAAAUCAAUUAUUCAGGGACAAAGAGUACGGUAGUACGAUUAAAGUGCAACACUCUUCAACGGAAGAUGCUUUUCCAUAACACAAGUGGGCCACAACUUUUCCCCUCAGUUGUGAAUCCCGCUUUAUGCGAAAAGCCAAGCAAUGCUUCGCCUGAUAUGGUAUGUUUAGUUGUUUGUUAUUGUAUGUUUAUUGUACUGUGUGUUUAGUUGUUUAGAGUCGAAUAUCGCUUUCGGUUUAUGCCUAUUCUUUUGGUGAAUGUCUGUGUUACUGUGUACAAAGCUGCACAGCAUGUGGCCGGAGGUCCAGUGUUUAAAAUGUGACUUACGUGGCAGGCUGUAACUUUAAUUAGUACAGUAAUUUGUUACAAAUUUGAUAAAUAUAUCGAACUAGUUUGCUAUCUGACACUACCAAGAGUAUAAUAAAUUGGUUAGCAAAAAUAUAAUAUCUGUGAAUAUUAUGCUGAAAUUAAGUACAUUAAUCAUGCAUCCUUAAACUAUUAUGUAACUCAUUAACAUGUUUAAGUGGGGAAAGCACUUAGCCUACUUAUCUAUUUAUACAGUAAUAUAUUAUCUAAUCUAUGUUUACUCCGUCUUAAAUUAUGUUAGGUGGUAAUUUUAAAAUAGUUAGUACAUGAUAUAUUUUGAAGGGACUUGUAGAUGGAAGUUAUUGACGUAAUUACUAAAAAAUCCACUGAAACCACUGAACUGUAUACAAGUUACUAAAACAUGGAAUGAGCCCAUGGAUUGUUGUGAGUCGUUGUGGAUCAUUGUGGCUUGUUAUGGAGUUGUUGUGGAUCGUUGUGGGGCCAUUGUGGCUGGUUGUGGAUUGUUGUACUGGGUAUCGAGUGUAUGGAAAUCACACUCAGUAACUUCCAUCAACAAGACCCUUCAACUAAAUAUUCAAUCAAGUGAACUGAUGUCAACAAAAUCUUGAUAUUUACAUGAUAUAUUUUAUCUGCAGUUAAAGGCACUGGCUGUUAUUUACAUGGUAUCCUCAUUUCUAAGGUAAUUUAACAGCUAAUUUGUAUUAAUUUUUAUUUGUUUAUCAAAUUGUUUAGAAAUUAUUAGCUUGAACUGCAUACUCAAUUUGUUAGUUAUAGAUUAUAUAUAUGAACUCUAAUUAUAUAUGUAUUAAUUUAUAAUUUCUAGUAUCAUUGGUUCUUUGUCCAUUAUUAUCUACACUUGCAAGAAAAGAAUUGUUUGUAAUUCUGAGGUACA